ACUUUGGUACGACUGGGAAGGCCGGGCAGGGAAGGUGGCUCAGGGGGCCCUGUUCUCCCCGUCCCUCGGGAGAGGGGGUGGGGUGGGCUCUCCCGAGUGUUACACACCCCCAGCAGCAGCACUCCCUGAAUCCCAUGGAUGAGAGAGUGAGACCCGUUGCCGUGCUCGCCCCUUUCUGGCGCCCACUCUAAUGGGGGCUACCCAUGAAGGGUUCCCCAGUGGGGGUGUGACAGCGUCCCUCUAGGGGGCUGGGUCACUCCUCCCACGGUAUAACUGCUCUUCUGCCCCUUCCCUGCCCCCAGCGAGGAGGCCGCAUAGGAGGGGGUGGGGCUGACCGUGGUGUGCCCCAGGCUGGUUGUCCUGUCGGACCUGCGAGGUCUCUUCCACCAUGCACUCCUCCCAAAAGAACAGUGGAACGAGUUGGAAUCCCGAGGCCUCUCCAGUUUGCCGAGGGUGUAUCACCGGCCAGUCUUGUCAGUCGCGCUGCAGAGGUGGAGCAAGGGAACAUGUUGUUAGGCACCAAGAGAUGAUGAACUAUGCCUGGGCAGCAGGAAGCCAGAGGAAACGCUGGUGGAGGUCUGUAGCGGUCCUGACGUGUAAAUCGGUCGUCUGAUCUGGGUAUGGGGCAAAAGACUAAUCGAAACAUCUAGUAGAUGGUUCCCUUUGAAGUAAUUCCUAAGGAUAGCUGGCGCUUUGGCAAAAACCCCAUGCCACGCAGUUAUCCGGCAAAGCGAAUUGAUUAGUCUUGGGGCGGAAACAAUCUUAACCUAUUCUCAAACUUUAAAUGGGUAAGAAGCCCGGUUUGCUGGUGUGGAGCCGGUCAUGGAAUGCUGGUGCCUAGAGGGCCACUUUUGGUCAGCAGAACUGGUGCUAUUGGAUGAACUCAACGUGGUGUUAAGGUGCCUGAUGCUGAUGUUCAUCAUACCCCAGAAAACAGUGGACAGCAGGACAGUGGCCAUGGAAGUCAGAAUACACUAAGGAGUGUUUAACAACGAAUCAACUAGCCCUGAAAAAUGAAUGGUACUGAAGCAUUGGACCCAUAUCUGGCCGUUGCCAAUGGUUAAGAGUGGACGGGAGUGGUGAGGGUUGUUGCCCCCGCUGGAGUCCUGCGGAUGCUAUGCUACUAUGAGUAGGAGGGCCUCUGUGGCGAGACUUGAAGCCUAGGGCCUGAGCCUGGGUGGAGCUGCCUCAGGUGCAGAUCUUGUUGGUAGUAGCAAAUAUUCAAAUGAGAACUUUGAAGGAUGAAGUGGAGAAGGAUUCCAAUUGAACAUGGGUCAGUCGGUCCGGAGAAAUGGGCGUGUGCCCUUCCGAAGGGAUGGAUGAUGACUUCCGUUGCCCUCACCGAUGGAAAGGGAGUCAAGUUCAGAUUUCUGAAUCCAGAGUGACAGAGAUGGGCGCCAGUGAGGGGUUCAGGGAGGUAAUGCAACUGAUCCUGGAGAAGCUGGUGGGAGUCCAGGGGAGAGUUCUUUUGUGAAGGGCAGGGCACCCUGGAAUGGGCUUGCCCUGAGAGGGGCCUGUGCGUUGGAAAGCAAGGUGGUUCAGGCCCUUGAAAAUCUAGGGGAGAGGGUAUAAAUCUCACACCGGGCUGUAACCAUAUCCACAGCAGAUCUCCAAGGUGAACACUGUCUGGCAUGUUGGAACAAUGUAGGUAAGGGAAAUUGACAAGUGGGAUCGGUAAAUUCAGGACAAGGAUUUGUUUGCUCCGAGGGCUUCGCUGGUCCUGCUGGGGUGUGAAGCGGGGAUGGGUGCAGCCCUUGGCUGGAUGAGGCAGUGCUGCUCCUCCUCAGCACUAGGGGCACCCCUCUGCAGCCAUCCCCCACCCCACCUAUCUGCCUCUCCCCCAUCCCUCCCCCUUGCUAUUGCCAGUGCCUAGCAGCCAACUUAGAAUUGGUGCAGACCACGGGAAUCCGACUAUUUAAAACAAAGCAUGAUGAAGGCCAGUGGUGGCUGUUGACACUAUGUGAAUUCCGCCCAGUGCUCUGACUGUCAAAGUGAAGAAAUUCAGUGAAGCCACUGGUAAAGGACAGCAGUAACUAUGACUUUCUUAAGGUGCAGUCAAAUGCUUCCUCAUCUAAUUAGUGAGGCGUAUGAAUGGAUGAACGAGAUUCUCACUGUCCCUACCUGCUAUCCAGUGAAACCACAGCCAAAGGAAUGCGUUUGACUGAAUCAGCAGGGAAAGAAGACUCUGUUGAGACUGACUCCAGUCUGGCACGGUGAAGAGACAUGAGAGGUGCAGAAUAAGUGAAAAGCACCCAGCAGCCUUCUGUCACUAUGAGGGGAUGGGGUGGGGUCCACCCGCCUUGUGGGCUGCAGGUGAAAUGCCACUACCCUGAUCAUUUUUUCACUGACCUGGUGAGGGGGAAGGGGAUGAGCUACAAGGAACUCUCGUUUUUGGCGCCAAGCACUUGGCCACGUGCUGGCUUGGUGUGACCUGCUCCAGGAAUAGUAUCAGGUGCAGAGUUGGACUGGGGCGGUACACCUGUUGAAUGGUAAUGCAGGUGUAUGAAGGUGAGUACAGGGAAUACAGAAACCUCCCGUGGAACCGAAGGGCAGAAGCUCGCUUGCUCUUGAUUUUCAGUACAAAUACAGAUGAGAAAGUCAGAGCCUCACCAUUCUUCUAAACUUUGGGUUUUAAGCAGGGCAUGUCAAAAAAGAUACCGCAGGGAUAACUGCUUUGUAGCGGCCAAGAGUUCAUAGCGACGUCCCUUUUUGAUCCCUCAAUAUUGGCUCUUCCUAUUGUGAAGCAGAAUUCACCAUUCAAUGUUGGCUCUUCCUAUUUUGAAGCAGACUUCACCAAGCAUUGGAUGGUUCAUCCAAUAAUAGGGAACCUGAGCUGGGUUUAGAACAUCAUGAGACAGGAUAGUUUUACACAAGGUUCUUUUAGACAAGGGUCUUCCCAUCUUGGCCUCACAAGUACCUGGGACUACUGGGACCUUCUUUUUCUUUUUCUUUUCUAACCACAAUUUCAGUUUGUUUCCACAAUACUUAGAGUAACUUGCUAUAAUUUUUCUUUGUUCUUUUCUCUCUCUAUUCUCAUAUGCUCCUUCUUACACGCUGAAGUUGACCUUUGGUUUAUUUUUUGUCACAAUUCACACUGGUUGUAACAAACACACACACAUACAGAGAAGUUCUUAAUUGUGAUAUUAAUUACCUUUUAUUAUUGUU
rnacentral:rRNA from 1 species